rnacentral:rRNA from 1 species
GAUGAACGCUGGCGGCGUGCCUAAUACAUGCAAGUCGAGCGAACAGACGAGGAGCUUGCUCCUCUGACGUUAGCGGCGGACGGGUGAGUAACACGUGGAUAACCUACCUAUAAGACUGGGAUAACUUCGGGAAACCGGAGCUAAUACCGGAUAAUAUAUUGAACCGCAUGGUUCAAUAGUGAAAGACGGUUUUGCUGGCACUUAUAGAUGGAUCCGCGCCGCAUUAGCUAGUUGGUAAGGUAACGGCUUACCAAGGCAACGAUACGUAGCAGACCCGAGAGGGUGAUCGGCCACACUGAGGCAGAGACACGCGCCAGGGUCCUAAGGGCGGCAGCAGUAGGAAAUCUUACGCAAUGAGCGGAAGCCUUGCGAGACAACGCCACGUGAGUGAUAAAGAUCUUCGGAUCGUAAAACUCUGUUAUUGUGGAAGAACAAAUAUGUAAGUUACUAUGCACGUCUUGACGGUACCUUAUCACAAAGCCACGGCUAACUACGUG